rnacentral:lncRNA from 1 species
UCUGUCUGCCUUAACUGUUCAAACUCAAUCAUCUUCAAUUCUCUUGAACUGUCAGGAAAAGCCCAUCCUGCAAAUUCAUUUGCAAACUCCUCCCAUGAUAGGCUGUCCAACCUCGGGCUCACAUAGUUCUUAAACCACUCACGGGCCUUUUUGCAUUUUAAUGUGAACCCAGCCAUCUGAAUGGCUCUACUGUCAUCCGCCCCUAUCUCAUCUGUAAUUGUUUUGACCCUCUCAAGGUACACAAACGGGUCAUCACCGGUUUCAAACUGGGGAGCACCCAGCUUCAUGUAGUCGGUCAUCUUGACCUUGCUCCCACCAGAUGAGCUAGGCUUAGGCAUAUGGGUUGCUGGAACUGUGGGUUCUGCUGAUGG